AGUGGACGCUGGCGGUAGGCCUAACACAUGCAAGUCGAACGGCAGCACAGUAAGAGCUUGCUCUUACGGGUGGCGAGUGGCGGACGGGUGAGGAAUACAUCGGAAUCUACUUUUUCGUGGGGGAUAACGUAGGGAAACUUACGCUAAUACCGCAUACGACCUACGGGUGAAAGCAGGGGAUCUUCGGACCUUGCGCGAUUGAAUGAGCCGAUGUCGGAUUAGCUAGUUGGCGGGGUAAAGGCCCACCAAGGCGACGAUCCGUAGCUGGUCUGAGAGGAUGAUCAGCCACACUGGAACUGAGGCACGGUCCAGACUCCUACGGGAGGCAGCAGUGGGGAAUAUUGGACAAUGGGCGCAAGCCUGAUCCAGCCAUACCGCGUGGGUGAAGAAGGCCUUCGGGUUGUAAAGCCCUUUUGUUGGGAAAGAAAAGCAGCAGGUUAAUACCCCGCUGUUCUGACGGUACCCAAAGAAUAAGCACCGGCUAACUUCGUG
rnacentral:rRNA from 1 species